AAUGAACGUUGGCGGCGUGGAUUAGGCAUGCAAGUCGAGCGGGAGUAGCAAUACUCCAGCGGCGUAAGGGACAGUAACACGUAGAUUACCUACCCUCCGAUCCGGGAUAGCUGCGGGAAACUGCAGGUAAUACCGGAUAAUGUCUCCGGACCAAAGGUGUGAUUCCGUCGGAGGAUGGGUCUGCGUCCUAUUAGCUAGUUGGUGGGGUAACGGCCUACCAAGGCAAUGAUGGGUAGUGGGUGUGAGAGCACGACCCGCGUCACUGGGACUGAGACACUGCCCAGACACCUACGGGUGGCUGCAGUCGAGGAUCUUCGGCAAUGGGCGCAAGCCUGACCGAGCGACGCCGCGUGCGGGAUGAAGGCCUUCGGGUUGUAAACCGCUGUCAGUGGGGAGGAAAUAUACGUGGGUUCUCCCACGUAUUUGACCUAUCCGCAGAGGAAGUGUGGGCUAAGUUCGUGCCAGCCGCCGCAGUAACAC
rnacentral:rRNA from 1 species